GGCGCUCCUCAGUCUAGGUGACGCGCAGUCGCCCCCCCAGGCAGCCCAGGCGGCGGCAGCAUCUGCGGCGGCUGCAAGGGCAGAUUUCGGAGCUCUGGGCCGAAGGGGAGCAGAAGACACCCUCUGCGCGCGCCGACUCCGCUCUCCCCCCCUCCGGGAGGUGGGGGCUGGGAGCCAUCCUCGUCUCCGCCCCCUCCCCACCGCGCAAUGAGAGAUGAACUGGCAAGAGGUCUGUUUGCCUGGACCCAUCAGCAGCUGGGAGACUAAUCAAACACACUGAAAAUGUUUCCGGGAUUGUGGGGGAGGGGUUGGAAUGUAGAUGUUUGAAACAAAUGUGUAUAAAUAAAUGAAUUGUUGAUAACUUA